GAUGAUCGCUGGCGGCGUGCCUAAUACAUGCAAGUCGAGCGAACAGACGAGGAGCUUGCUCCUCUGACGUUAGCGGCGGACGGGUGAGUAACACGUGGAUAACCUACCUAUAAGACUGGGAUAACUUCGGGAAACCGGAGCUAAUACCGGAUAAUAUAUUGAACCGCAUGGUUCAAUAGUGAAAGACGGUUUUGCUGUCACUUAUAGAUGGAUCCGCGCCGCAUUAGCUAGUUGGUAAGGUAACGGCUUACCAAGGCGACGAUGCGUAGCCGACCUGAGAGGGUGAUCGGCCACACUGGAACUGAGACACGGUCCAGACUCCUACGGGAGGCAGCAGUAGGGAAUCUUCCGCAAUGGGCGAAAGCCUGACGGAGCAACGCCGCGUGAGUGAUGAAGGUCUUCGGAUCGUAAAACUCUGUUAUUAGGGAAGAACAAAUGUGUAAGUAACUAUGCACGUCUUGACGGUACCUAAUCAGAAAGCCACGGCUAACUACGUG
rnacentral:rRNA from 1 species